AUACGGAGGAUGCGAGCGUUAUCCGGAUUUAUUAGGUUUAAAGGGUGUGUAGGCGGUAUUUUAAGUCAGUGGUGAAAUCUCGGAGCUUAACUUCGAAACUGCCAUUGAUACUGGAAUACUUGAGUAUAGUUGAGGUAGGCGGAAUAUGUAAUGUAGCGGUGAAAUGCAUAGAUAUUACAUAGAACACCGAUUGCGAAGGCAGCUUACUAAACUAUUACUGGCGCUGAUGCACGAAAGCGUGGGGAGCGAACAGGAUUAGAAACCCCGGUAGUCC
rnacentral:rRNA from 1 species